GGGGACUAUCCGACUUCAGUGAUGGUUUGGUGGGGUAUUAGCUAUGAAGGAGUGACUGAGCCAUACCUAGGCGGCACUGAAAAUUUCGGGAAUUAACGAAGUGACACAACAUUACUAUUUAAAAAUGUAUUUAUUGCUUUUCGAAGUAUUCUCCGCGAAAUUUGACAAAUUUUUCCAUACGAUGGAACCAAUCAUUGAAGCAACCAUUCCAUUCGGAAGUUGGGGUCUCCAAAAUGGCGGUUUUGUAGGCGUCCACAGCUUCUUCAGGUGAUGAAAAUCUCUGUCCACGCAAUUUAUUCUUUAUUUUAGGGAAAGUAUAGAAAUCAUUAGGGCUUAGGUCGGGGCUGUACGGCGGAUGGUCUAAUAAUUCUAUGUUUUCUUGCUCUAAAAACUCUUUUGUUCUGUGGGCGGUGUGAGAACUCGCAUUGUCGUGAUGGAGGAUGAUGCGGCGGUUGCAGUUCUCUUUACGGAGUUCAGAAACGUCCUGUGGCAAACAAAUGCUAGCAUACCAUUCUGCAUUAACCGUUCUUUGUCCCUCAAGAGGAAUAGUCGUAACAUGGCCGGUUUUGGAGACAAACGUGGCCACCAUUUUUUUUGCAACACUCCGUGAACGAACAAUUUUUGUUGGCUUUAACUCAUUUUCGAACACCCAAACUCGUGACUGGUUUUUUGUUUCGGGUUCGUACGCGUAUAUCCAGGAUUCGUCACCUGAUACAAUGUUGUAUAGGUACAGCAUUUGAGGAUCCUGCGUGGAAUCUUUCGAGAGUUCUGACGCACCAAGUAACGCGAGGCGCUUUUUGCUCUUCACAGAGCAAAUGCGGUAUCCAUCGGGAAAACAACUUUUUUACACCUAAUUGUUCAUGCAAGAUUAUUUGUAUUUGACUCAUGCCAAUGUCUAAAGUUGCCUGAAUUUCGCGGUAUGUCACAUGUCGAUCUUCCUCAAUCAGCUUACGCACAGCAUCAACGUUUUCUUGGGUGACUGCAUUUUUGGACGACCUUGACGGGGAUCAUCACUGAGCUUGACACGUCCACGUUGAAACUCAGCAAACCAGCGAUAAAUUGUGGUUUUGGAUGGGCUUCAUCACCAAAUGCAGAAAUCAUCCGGUCAACACACUGUUUCAACGACUAAACAAGUUUGACAAAACCUCGUGACAAGACCGAGAAUCUUUUUUUUAAAUAAAUAAAUGGUAUUCGAUUUUUAAAACCAAGGAGUUUUCAAUUAAAAAGAUUUUAAUAUGACAGGAACAGUGGAAAUAUUCCAUUCCCGAUACUUUUAGUGCAGCCCUCGUACUUUUGUGAAAAAGGUAUCAAAACAUCCGCACAAGUGUAUCAAGAUACCAUUCUUGAGAUGGUAGUGAAGCCCCUUAACAACACCAUGUUCAAUAAUCAAGAAUCGUCCUUCCAGCAAGACUCGGCGCCAGGUCAUAAAGCUCAGUCUACGCAGUCUUGGUUGGAAACGAACGUUUCGGACUUCAUCAGAGCUGAAGACUGGCCGUCGUCUAGUCCCGAUCUUAAUCCGCUGGAUGAUGAUUUAUGGUCAGUUUUAGAGAGUACGGCUUGUUCUAAACGCCAUGAUAAUUUGGAGUCCCUAAAACAAUCCGUACAAUUGGCAGUGAAAAAAUUUCCCCUGGAAAGAGUGCGUGCUUCUACUGAUAACUGGCCUCGACGUUUAAAGGACUGUAUUGCAGCCAAUAGAGACCACUUCGAAUAAGCUUUUUAUACUUUAAAUUGUUUUAUAUUUAUGUAUUAAACUAACACACUGUAAAAGCAAUAAAUGUUAUUUGCA